rnacentral:rRNA from 1 species
AUUGAACGCUGGCGGCAUGCUUUACACAUGCAAGUCGAACGGUAACAGGCCGCAAGGUGCUGACGAGUGGCGAACGGGUGAGUAAUGCAUCGGAACGUGCCCAGUCGUGGGGGAUAACGCAGCGAAAGCUGCGCUAAUACCGCAUACGAUCUGUGGAUGAAAGCGGGGGACCGAAAGGCCUCGCGCGAUUGGAGCGGCCGAUGUCAGAUUAGGUAGUUGGUGGGGUAAAGGCCCACCAAGCCAACGAUCCGCAGCUGGUCUGAGAGGACGACCAGCCACACUGGGACUGAGACACGGCCCAGACUCCUACGGGAGGCAGCAGUGGGGAAUUUUGGACAAUGGGCGCAAGCCUGAUCCAGCAAUGCCGCGUGCAGGAAGAAGGCCUUCGGGUUGUAAACUGCUUUUGUACGGAACGAAACGGUCCGGGUUAAUACCCUGGGCUAAUGACGGUACCGUAAGAAUAAGCACCGGCUAACUACGUGCCAGCCGCCGCAGUAAUAC